rnacentral:lncRNA from 1 species
ACCACCCCCAAUCAUUGGAAGAUUUGGAACUUCACUGAAAAUUGGUAUUGGUGGAUUGCUAAAUGUUGGAAAAUCUACUUUCUUCGAUGUAUUAACCAGUAGUCAGGCUUCAGCAGAAAACUUCCUAUUUGGCACCAUUGAUCCUAAUGAGAGCAGGGUACCUGCGCCAGAUGAAAGGUUUGACUUUCUUUGCCAGUACCACAAACCAGCAAGCAAAAUUCCUGCCUUUCUAAAUAUAGUGGAUACUGCUGGCCUUGUGAAAGGAGCUCACAAUGGGCAGGGCCUGGGGAAUGCUUUUUUUCUUUUUAAUCUCAUAUUAAUGCCUGUGAUGGCAUCUUUCAUGUAACACGUACUUUUGAAGAUGGUGAUAUGACGCAUGUUGAAGGAAGUGUAGAUCUUAUUGGAGAUACAGAAAUAAUACAUGAAGAGCUUCAGCUUAAAGAGGAGGAAAUGAUUGGGUCCAUUACAGAUAAACUAGAAAAGGUGGCUGUGAGAGGAGGAGAUAAAAAACUAAAACCUCUUUGGGAGGCCGAGGUGGGCAGAUCACCAGGUCAGGAGUUCAAGACCAGCCUGGCCAAUAUGGUGAAACCCCAUCUGUACUAAAAAUACAAAAAUUAGCUGGGCAUGGUGGUGCACGCCUGUAAUCCCAGCUAAUCGGGAGGCUGAGGCAGGAGAAUUGCUUGAACCUGGGAGGCGGAGGUGGCAGUGAGCUGAGAUUGUGCCACUGCACUCCAGCCUGGGCAAGACUCCGUCUCAAAAAAAAAAAAAAGAAAGAAAGAAAGAAAGAAAGAAAAACAAAUGGUUGAUAAAAAUAAAAAUAAAUUAAAUAGUGGGUGGACAAGUAUGACCUAGGUGCCUUUGUCGUUCCUUUUAGUGGGGCCUUGGCAAGAAUUGAGUGCUGAGGAGAGACCGGAGUAACUGGAAGCAAACACGACUCAAAGUGCUUUGCCAAAGAUCAUUAAGGCUGGGUCUGCAGCACUCCAACUAGAAUACGUUUUCACUGCAGGCCCAGAUGAAGUGUGUGCAGGGACCAUCAGGAAAGGGACUAAGAAUCCUCAGGCUGCAGGAAAGAUUCACACAAAUUUUGAAAAGAGAUUCAUUAUGGCUGAAGUAAUGAAAUACGAAGAUUUUAAAUGGGAAGGUUCUGAAAUGCAGUCAAGGCUGCCGGAAAGUACAGACAACAAGGCAGAAAUUAUAUUGUUGAAGAUGGAGAUAUUAUCUUCUUCAAAUUUAACACACCUCAACAACCGAAGAAGAAAGAUAA